UGUGGUGUAGCUCAGUUGGUAGAGCGGAGGCCGCCCGAGCUUCGCGUCGCUGGUUCAAGUCCAGCCACCACAGCAA
rnacentral:tRNA from 3 species